rnacentral:rRNA from 1 species
GUGCCAGCAGCCGCGGUAAGACAGAGGGUGCAAACGUUGUUCGGAUUUACUGGGCGUAAAGCGCGUGUAGGCGGCUUCGCAAGUUGGAUGUGAAAGCCCACGGCUCAACCGUGGAAGCGCAUCCAAAACUGCGUCGCUCGAGUCUCGGAGAGGAAGGUGGAAUGCUUGGUGUAGAGGUGAAAUUCGUAGAUAUCAAGCAGAACACCUGCGGCGAAGGCGGCCUUCUGGACGAUGACUGACGCUGAGACGCGAAAGCGUGGGGAGCAAACAGGAUUAGAAACCCGUGUAGUCC